UAGGGAAUCUUCCACAAUGGACGCAAGUCUGAUGGAGCAACGCCGCGUGAGUGAAGAAGGCUUUCGGGUCGUAAAACUCUGUUAUUGAAGAAGAACGUGUGUGACAGUAACUGGUCAUGCAGUGACGGUAUUCAAUCAGAAAGUCACGGCUAACUACGUGCCAGCAGCCGCGGUAAUACGUAGGUGGCAAGCGUUGUCCGGAUUUAUUGGGCGUAAAGCGAGUGCAGGCGGUCCUUUUAAGUCUGAUGUGAAAGCCUUCGGCUUAACCGAAGAAGGGCAUCGGAAACUGGGAGACUUGAGUG
rnacentral:rRNA from 1 species